GUCACGGGCCGAGGAGGCAUCGUCGAGGGCGGAGAUUGCGGCGGCCGGCGCGCGUGUGUGCUGCUUUUAGCACGAGGAGUAAGACGGACACGAGCGCUCGUGCGAGCAUGGAAUGGGCGCUCUCAGGGAAGCUGGCCCAAGAGCGA